rnacentral:rRNA from 1 species
CCUACGGGAGGCAGCAGUGGGGAAUAUUGGACAAUGGGCGAAAGCCUGAUCCAGCCAUGCCGCGUGUGUGAAGAAGGCCUUCGGGUUGUAAAGCACUUUCAGUGGGGAAGAAAGCCUUGGGGCUAAUACCCUCGAGGAAGGACAUCACCCACAGAAGAAGCACCGGCUAACUCCGUGCCAGCAGCCGCGGUAAUACGGAGGGUGCGAGCGUUAAUCGGAAUUACUGGGCGUAAAGCGCGCGUAGGCGGUCUGAUAAGCCGGUUGUGAAAGCCCCGGGCUCAACCUGGGAACGGCAUCCGGAACUGGCAGGCUAGAGUGCAGGAGAGGAUGGUAGAAUUCCCGGUGUAGCGGUGAAAUGCGUAGAGAUCGGGAGGAAUACCAGUGGCGAAGGCGGCCUUCUGGACUGACACUGACGCUGAGGUGCGAAAGCGUGGGUAGCAAACAGGAUUAGAUACCCUAGUAGUC